AAUGGGUCAGCGACUUAUAUUCUGUAGCAAGGUUAACCGUAUAGGGGAGCCGAAGGGAAACCGAGUCUUAACUGGGCGUUAAGUUGCAGGGUAUAGACCCGAAACCCGGUGAUCUAGCCAUGGGCAGGUUGAAGGUUGGGUAACACUAACUGGAGGACCGAACCGACUAAUGUUGAAAAAUUAGCGGAUGACCUGUGGCUGGGGGUGAAAGGCCAAUCAAACCGGGAGAUAGCUGGUUCUCCCCGAAAGCUAUUUAGGUAGCGCCUCGUGAACUCAUCUUCGGGGGUAGAGCACUGUUUCGGCUAGGGGGCCAUCCCGGCUUACCAACCCGAUGCAAACUACGAAUACCGAAGAAUGUUAUCACGGGAGACACACGGCGGGUGCUAACGUCCGUCGUGAAGAGGGAAACAACCCAGACCGCCAGCUAAGGUCCCAAAGUCAUGGUUAAGUGGGAAACGAUGUGGGAAGGCACAGACAGCCAGGAUGUUGGCUUAGAAGCAGCCAUCAUUUAAAGAAAGCGUAAUAGCUCACUGGUCGAGUCGGCCUGCGCGGAAGAUGUAACGGGGCUAAACCAUGCACCGAAGCUGCGGCAGCGACACUAUGUGUUGUUGGGUAGGGGAGCGUUCUGUAAGCCGUUGAAGGUGUGCUGUGAGGCAUGCUGGAGGUAUCAGAAGUGCGAAUGCUGACAUAAGUAACGAUAAAGCGGGUGAAAAGCCCGCUCGCCGGAAGACCAAGGGUUCCUGUCCAACGUUAAUCGGGGCAGGGUGAGUCGACCCCUAAGGCGAGGCCGAAAGGCGUAGUCGAUGGGAAACAGGUUAAUAUUCCUGUACUUGGUGUUACUGCGAAGGGGGGACGGAGAAGGCUAUGUCAGCCGGGCGACGGUUGUCCCGGUUUAAGCAUGUAGGCGGAGGUUCCAGGUAAAUCCGGUAC
rnacentral:rRNA from 1 species